GAAGUCUCCCUGAUCCCCCUGCAGCCCAGCCAUCCCGAGCGAGGCGGUGCAUCAUCGGCUGUGUCUCCGGAGCGAGAAGCGAGAGAAGGCAGCGAUGCGGCAGCGAUUGCACCUGGUUGGUGAACCUCAUCUGUAGCACACUACAGCCCAACAAGAAGCCACUUACGAAAAUGCUGAAGACCAAACAGUCAUGCAAAAAACUCUUUGACAAGUAGUUUCCCAUAAGAAUUUCAUGUGGAGGGAAAAAUCUUAAGCUGCCCAUAUCCGUUCACACCCUAAAUUUGCAUACCUGAAUAAAGCUAAUCAGUAAGAGGAUAUUAAAAAGGAAUUAAUGGAACUGCUUAAAUAAAUGGAUGGGGCUUUAAAAGCUUUUUUAAUUGAUCUCCACAAAGGAUAUGGUGUUUUUAAUAUCAGCUUUGUUUAUGCAUGCUUAGUACCAGCUUCUACCCUUUAUUUGUAAGCAAGCAUGCUAGUAAUACAUGAAUAAAAUUUUAUUCAGAUG